rnacentral:snRNA from 1 species
GCAUGUUGGGGCAAUCUGGCUGCGACCUGUGUAUGUCCGCUGAUGGCCAGAGCUGAUUCAGCUGAUCUGACUUUCUAGGUGGUUAAAUCCCCUUCCUUGCUCACCACUCCCUGUGUAUCCCUCCCGAAGCUGCAUGCUGCAGUGAAGAAGGCAACCUUUCCCAAAUAGAGGGCCAAUCUUUGGUCAAGGAUAUAUGAGUAGCAGUGCUUCCCUGCUAGAACCUCCAAACAAGCUCUCAAAAUUCCUUGGACAAGGUGGGCCCUGAAACAAUCUUUAAUUAAGCCUCAGGAAAAGCACACAAUCCCUUCUAUUUCCU